rnacentral:lncRNA from 1 species
CUCAGGCGCAAGACACGCGCGCUACUGAGGGCAGAACAGACGACCAAGGGACAGUAAGAAGAGGAAGAUGGUGGCGGUGGGAAGAAAGGCAUUUGGAAUGGUGGAAUCAAGUAAGAAGUGAUGUCAGGACCUCUAUCAAAAAAAAAAAGUGACACCUCGGACUAUUGAUUUCGAACGUAUAAUGGUCUUUGAGAAUAUUGUUAUCCCCCCCCCCCUGUUUGAUUACCGAUAUGUCUAUGAACAUGAUAACGAAUUGUUGAUAAUAACCCUUUUUUAAUGGUGUAUUUUGUUUAACUAUAACUAUUAUAUUAUUAUACUUUUUCCUUUAUUUAAUUUUCAUAUAUUUAGUUUUUAUUCUUUUUUCAUUGAGAUAAAGAUUGUUUACUGAAAUCCCCCUUUCAUACAAAUAGAUUCAACGUUUUCAUUUAGAGCCUCAGUGCACUUUUCUGAAGUUAUUUUCUAUUGUUCCUUUUUUUGUUCACCUGUUGUCAAAAUUCUGUUCACCUGCCUUAUAAUUACUUUUAAAUUUUCAAGGUAUUUAACUAUCACCUGUUUUAUUAUUGUUACUAUUUUUAAUCACACCUGUGUCGUGUGUUUAUACCUUUAUUUACUAUAUAGACUGAUAAGUAUAUAUUAUCUAUGUAAUAUUUUUUU